ACUGGGCGUAAAGGGUCCGCAGGCGCCCAAGUGUGUCAGAUGUGAAAUCCCAUGGCUCAACCAUGGAACUGCGUUUGAAACUACUUGGCUAGAGGCUCGGAGGGGAUAGCGGAAUUCCAGGUGUAGCGGUGAAAUGCGUAGAUAUCUGGAGGAACACCAACGGCGAAGGCAGCUAUCUGGACGAGUUCUGACGCUCAUGGACGAAAGUGUGGGGAGCGAAAGGGAUUAGAUACCCCUGUAGUCCACACCGUAAACGUUGUGCACUAGGUAUUGGAGGAUUCGACCCCUUCAGUGCCCCAGCUAACGCGUUAAGUGCACCGCCUGAGGACUACGGCCGCAAGGCUAAAACUCAAAGGAAUUGACGGGUCCCCGCACAAGCGGUGGAGCAUGUGGCUUAAUUCGAUGCAACGCGAAGAACCUUACCAGGGCUUGACAUGCACUGGACCGGGACAGAGAUGUCCUUUCCCUUCGGGGCCGGUGCACAGGUGCUGCAUGGCUGUCGUCAGCUCGUGUCGUGAGAUGUUCGGUUAAGUCCGUCAACGAGCGCAACCCCUGUCCUUAGUUGCCAGCAUUCAGUUGGGGACUCUAAGGAGACUAUCCUGCUCUGCAGGAGGGAAGGUGGGGAUGACGUCAAGUCAGUAUGGCCCUUACGUCCUGGGCUGCACACGUGCUACAAUGCCAAGUACAAUGGGCAGCGACACCGCGAGGUGGAGCUAAUCUCCAAAGCUUGGCCCAGUUCGGAUUGGAGUCUGCAACUCGACUCCAUGAAG
rnacentral:rRNA from 1 species